rnacentral:rRNA from 1 species
GACGAACGCUGGCGGCGUGCUUAACACAUGCAAGUCGAACGGAAAGGCCUUUUCGGAGGUACUCGAGUGGCGAACGGGUGAGUAACACGUGGGUGAUCUGCCCUGCACUCUGGGAUAAGCCUAGGAAACUGGGUCUAAUACCGGAUAGGACCGCACUUUAGUGUGUGUGGUGGAAAGUUUUUUCGGCGUAGGAUGAGCCCGCGGCCUAUCAGCUUGUUGGUGGGGUAAUGGCCUACCAAGGCGGCGACGGGUAGCCGGACUGAGAGGUUGGUCGGCCACAUUGGGACUGAGAUACGGCCCAGACUCCUACGGGAGGCAGCAGUGGGGAAUAUUGCACAAUGGGCGCAAGCCUGAUGCAGCGACGCCGCGUGGGGGAUGACGGCCUUCGGGUUGUAAACUCCUUUCGCCAGGGACGAAGCGUUUUGUGACGGUACCUGGAGAAGAAGCACCGGCUAACUACGUG